rnacentral:lncRNA from 1 species
CAGGUGUAUGCAUGUCUGUUCGUAUGUUGUCUACAUAAUACCAAGUUGACUUCGUUUGUUCGUUCGUGUGUUUUUGUUGAGCUACCGGGCCUGGCCCCACAUUGACUUUUAAAUAAAUAGCAUUGAGUCAUGGAUCCAUAUUUCUCAUUUAAAAAGAAGGCUCUUGAUCCUUCUACCAAGUGAACCGCCCAACUGGUCACUGAUAUCAAGCUCAAGUUAAUCAAACUACAGCCACCAGGACAAGAAGAAGACAACAUCUGGGGUAGACUGCUUUCUCCCAAGAUACCAGAGCAGAUAUCUGCAUGAGACCCUCACCAGGAUCGUGCUGACCCAAGACCUUGAGACUUUAGACUCAUUCCAGCUGGAAACGGAAGCCAGCUUAAGCCAAGAGAUGUUAAUUCAUAUUUAACAGGUGCCUGAGUGCCUCUCAUAAGUAAAUGGCUCUAGUUGCUCAGUUGAUCACUGCCUUGUCAAAGGAUCUCUGCACGGGACUAGAAGAAUCUGGAACAGGUUGCCAGCCACUCUAGCACGAUGAUGGGAUGCAACCAACCUAAUCAAUCAUCAGUGCUGUCUGCUGACAGGUUUUGAUAAACGGGGGGCGUGGGGGGAAUGUGAACCUUGAAAGAGCCAAUCCCUCGGAUGAAUCCUGAGUGGCUAAUAGCCUAAUUUCAAAAGAGCCAAGUGGCCAUUUGCUUACUAGAGGUCGCACACAUACUUGGAGUUCCUGGAAAACCUGCAUGUCUGCUUAGGGGCUUUCAUAGCUGCCUGUUCAUGUUUGUGCUGCCUGAGCCAACCAAUAGACUGUGACCUAUGUCAACCAAUCAGAACUCAGCAAGUGUUGACCAAUCAGAACUCACCAAACAUCAACCGGUCAGAACUAAGCAAGUUUGAAUCCUUUAUUUGACUAAGUGGACCUGAGUGGAACCUGGAUGGGAUCUUUCACUAUAAAAGAAAAACCUUCCCUUUGCUCUCUGGAACGUACCUUCAUUUUACACUGAAGGCUGUGUCUCUUCGGUUUGCCAACUGUUACUGGAAUAAAGUCUCUUUCCUCUAAAUUCUCUUUCAGAGAAUUUUGUUCACAGGAUAAAAGUCAUACCCAUCCCACUGGUCCAAGUUGAGGAUUAGCUGUGUCGAGUCAUGUAAAAUAGUUCAUUUAGGUAGG